rnacentral:rRNA from 1 species
GAUUAACGCUGGCGGCGUGCCUAACACAUGCAAGUCGAACGAUGAAACUUAAAUGAUUUCUUCGGAAUGAACUUAAGUGGAUUAGUGGCGGACGGGUGAUUAACGCGUGAGUAACCUGCCUUACACAAGGGGAUAGCCGUUGGAAACGACGAAUAAUACCCUAUGAAACUAUCACUUCGCAUGAAGCGAUAGUCAAAGUGUUAGCGGUGUAAGAUGGACUUGCGUCUGAUUAGCUAGUUGGUGAGAAAAAAGCCCACCAAGGCAACGAUCAGUAGCCGGCUUGAGAGAGUGUACGGCCACAUUGGGACUGAGACACGGCCCAGACUCCUACGGGAGGCAGCAGUGGGGAAUUUUGCACAAUGGGGGAAACCCUGAUGCAGCGACGCCGCGUGAUUUAGAAGGCCUUCGGGUUGUAAAAAUCUUUUGUAUAGGAAGAAAAUGACAGUACUAUACGAAUAAGGUCCGGCUAAUUACGUG